AGAUGAGAUUGGAGGUGUGGCCUCGUGAGACUCGAUGUACCUCUACCUACUAUGAGAAUAAGCUGCAACAGUGUGGUCGGACAACAUACAAUAAUUCAAGAAGGAAACUUGAGAUUAACCAGAUUAGGAGAGGACAGGAAAUCCUUUUCUGGCUCUACCCAAUGAAGUUUGGAUUAUAUUGGGACAACUAAGUGAGACUGUUCAUCUAUAGUCAUAUUGAUAUAAAGACUGGUUUAUUUCUAGAGGAUGCACAUGUAAAACUGUCUGGGAAUCUCCGGGUUAACAGAUUUUUAUACACUCCUAACGGGGGUUUUCACAAUGCUCCCUUCACAACUUUAUAGAUGGUACCUGAAACCUGGAGAUCACUUAAGUUAUAAUCUGGAGUAUGUUGGACUGUCUGUGUGAGGCUGUACAUCUGUCAUGUUGCCCAGGAAUCCAGAUGCAGAAACUAGUCUGCAGCCCACGUUUUUGUCCAUCUCAAUGUGACCAUUACAACAGAUGAGAAACGGAUCAGCAUAGAGAUUGGUGGUCAUUUUCCCCCUGGAGAAGCUUCUGUCAGACUUAACAUUACAAACCAGGCUUCACCUCAUAAUGGACAGACCAAAGCUCAGGAUAUUGAUCAGGAGGAACCAAUGGAGUGGGAGCCUUAUGAGUGUGUGGACAGCCAGCUGGGUACUGAUGGAAAGGUCUAUAUAGAUUGCAGAUUCCAAAGGACGUCUCACAUGAAUCUACAGCCAAACCAGACACCUCUUGGAGGGAUUAGAACUAAGGAUAUGAAUGGAGAUGAAGAGGAACCCAUGGAGGAGGGCUGAGGAAAAGUGUGAUCAGGACCCUCAUUGCCCAAUAGCUUAGGGAAAUGUAAUGUUGCUGUAAAGAAUUCAUUUAUUACCAUAUCCUUAU